CCUACGGGAGGCAGCAGUGGGGAAUAUUGGACAAUGGGCGAAAGCCUGAUCCAGCAAUUCCGCGUGUGUGAAGAAGGCCUUCGGGUUGUAAAGCACUUUAGUGGGGGAAGAAACAGCUUGGCCACACCAAGCCUUGACGGUACCCCAAGAAUAAGCACCGGCUAACUCUGUGCCAGCAGCCGCGGUAAUACAGAGGGUGCAAGCGUUAAUCGGAUUUACUGGGCGUAAAGGGUGCGUAGGUGGCUAUUUAAGUCGGAUGUGAAAGCCCGGGGCUCAACCUCGGAAUUGCAUUCGAUACUGAGUGGCUAGAGUUCGGUAGAGGGCGGCGGAAUUUCCGGUGUAGCGGUGAAAUGCGUAGAUAUCGGAAGGAACAUCAAUGGCGAAGGCAGCCGCCUGGGCCUGGACUGACACUGAGGCACGAAAGCGUGGGUAGCAAACAGGAUUAGAUACCCUGGUAGUCCACGCCGUAAACGAUGAGAACUUGACGUUGGUUCGUUUUACGAAUCGGUGUCGCAGCUAACGCGAUAAGUUCUCCGCCUGGGGAGUACGGCCGCAAGGUUGAAACUUANAGAGUAGUGCGNGNGAGAGCGACGACGACGACGACGGAGGAGG
rnacentral:rRNA from 1 species